GACGAACGCUGGCGGCGUGCCUAAUACAUGCAAGUUGAGCGCUGAAGGUUGGUACUUGUCCCAACUGGAUGAGCAGCGAACGGGUGAGUAACGCGUGGGGAAUCUGCCUUUGGGCGGGGGACAACAUUUGGAAACGAAUGCUAAUACCGCAUAAAAACUUUAAACACAAGUUUUAAGUUUGAAAGAUGCAAUUGCAUCACUCAAAGAUGAUCCCGCGUUGUAUUAGCUAGUUGGUGAGGUAAAGGCUCACCAAGGCGAUGAUACAUAGCCGACCUGAGAGGGUGAUCGGCCACAUUGGGACUGAGAAACGGCCCAAACUCCUACGGGAGGCAGCAGUAGGGAAUCUUCGGCAAUGGACGAAAGUCUGACCGAGCAACGCCGCGUGAGUGAAGAAGGGUUUCGGAUCGUAAAACUCUGUUGGUAGAGAAGAACGUUGGUGAGAGUGGAAAGCUCAUCAAGUGACGGUAACUACCCAGAAAGGGACGGCUAACUACGUG
rnacentral:rRNA from 1 species